rnacentral:tRNA from 1 species
GUUUUAAUAGUUUAAAUAAAACAAUGAUUUUGUAAAUCAUAAAUAGGUAAUCCUUUAAAACA